rnacentral:rRNA from 1 species
CCUAUGGGGCGCAGCAGGCGCGAAAACUUUACAAUGCGGGCAACCGUGAUAAGGAAACCCCGAGUGCCAGCACAGGCUGGCUGUCCAUCAGUGUAAACAGCUGGUGAAGAAAGGGCCGGGCAAGACCGGUGCCAGCCGCCGCGGUAAUACCGGCGGCUCGAGUGGUGGCCGCUAUUACUGGGCUUAAAGGGUCCGUAGCUUGAUAUACAAGUCCCUUGAGAAAUCCGCCAGCUUAACUGGCGGGCGUUCAGGGGAAACUGUAUUUCUAGGGACCGGGAGAGGUGAGAGGUACUGCCGGGGUAGGAGUGAAAUCCUGUAAUCCCGGUGGGACCACCUAUGGCGAAGGCAUCUCACCAGAACGGGUCCGACAGUGAGGGACGAAAGCUGGGGGAGCAAACCGGAUUAGAUACCCGGGUAGUCCCAGCUGUAAACGAUGCGCGUUAGGUGUGUCAGUGACCACGUGUCACUGAGGUGCCGAAGGGAAACCGUGAAACGCGCCGCCUGGGGAGUACGGUCGCAAGGCUGAAACUUAAAGGAAUUGGCGGGGGAGCAC